UAGCGGGUUAUGGGAGACUCACCAUUACCAAGCCCACCUCAGAAGAAAAUCAUAUUGGCUAGCAACAAUAAUGAUGAGAGAAUAACGCAUUAUUCAUUUACAACCUUUUGUAAUUACCCAUCUAAUUUGGCCUCUAGAGAACGAUGCCUCAGAAGAAUAUCAUAUUGGCACCAUUGCACUUAGUUAAGUCGUUCCCACCAUGCUUGUUCAAGUAGGGGUUCAAGAAUGGCCUCAGAAGAAUAUCAUAUUGGCCAUACUCGUUGCCUACUUUCACUUCAUCAUAUGUUUAUGGGCUUCUCCUGAAUGUAAGCACAUACUUUGCAUACCCCAGAACUGGACGAAUACGGUGUAUGAGUCACAAACGAUUGAAGCCCACCACGGUGGAAGGCCUACGAAGAGAUGUUCAAAACAUCUCUCGCUUAUCAACUUAAUAUUUGUUUUGAGGGAGUAGUUUUGGGCUACAUCAAAACAUUUUAAUCACAUUAAAAGAACUUGGGCCUAUCACAACUAUUGGUCCAAGUUAAUAUGAAUUAGUAGCAUAUAAUACUCCCACUGUUUCGUUGAAACAAGCGAGACUAUAUGGAACUACUACCGAAUGCAUUGCAUCCUCAUAUGGACUAUAUAGUCAUAUUAGGUUUUAGGAUGAUUAUGAACCGAUUAAUUU
rnacentral:lncRNA from 1 species